rnacentral:tRNA from 1 species
GGGCGCGUAGCUCAGUCGGACAGAGCGUCGGACUUCUAUCCCCACGCAGACUUCUGCUGGGGGAAGACAUCCGAUGGUCGCGGGUUCGAAUCCCGUCGCGCUCG